GAGUUUGAUCAUGGCUCAGGAUGAACGCUGGCGGCGUGCUUAACACAUGCAAGUCGAACGAACCUUCGGGUUAGUGGCGGACGGGUGAGUAACGCGUGAGAAUCUGCCCUCAGGAGGGGGAUAACGGUUGGAAACGACCGCUAAUACCCCAUAUGCCGAGAGGUGAAAUGAAUUUCGCCUGAGGAUGAGCUCGCGUCUGAUUAGUUAGUUGGUGGGGUAAUGGCCUACCAAGACGUCGAUCAGUAGCUGGUCUGAGAGGAUGAUCAGCCACACUGGGACUGAGACACGGCCCAGACUCCUACGGGAGGCAGCAGUGGGGAAUUUUCCGCAAUGGGCGAAAGCCUGACGGAGCAACGCCGCGUGAGGGAUGAAGGCCUCUGGGCUGUAAACCUCUUUUAUCAAGGAAGAAGAUCUGACGGUACUUGAUGAAUAAGCCACGGCUAAUUCCGUGCCAGCAGCCGCGGUAAUACGGGAGUGGCAAGCGUUAUCCGGAAUUAUUGGGCGUAAAGCGUCCGCAGGCGGUCUGUCAAGUCUGCUGUUAAAGCGUGGAGCUUAACUCCAUUUCGGCAGUGGAAACUGACAGACUAGAGUGUGGUAGGGGCAGAGGGAAUUCCCGGUGUAGCGGUGAAAUGCGUAGAUAUCGGGAAGAACACCAGUGGCGAAGGCGCUCUGCUGGGCCAUAACUGACGCUCAUGGACGAAAGCCAGGGGAGCGAAAGGGAUUAGAUACCCCUGUAGUCCUGGCCGUAAACGAUGAACACUAGGUGUCGGGGGAAUCGACCCCCUCGGUGUCGUAGCCAACGCGUUAAGUGUUCCGCCUGGGGAGUACGCACGCAAGUGUGAAACUCAAAGGAAUUGACGGGGGCCCGCACAAGCGGUGGAGUAUGUGGUUUAAUUCGAUGCAACGCGAAGAACCUUACCAGGGUUUGACAUCCUGCGAAUCUCUUGGAAACGAGAGAGUGCCUUCGGGAACGCAGUGACAGGUGGUGCAUGGCUGUCGUCAGCUCGUGUCGUGAGAUGUUGGGUUAAGUCCCGCAACGAGCGCAACCCACGUCGUUAGUUGCCAGCAUUUAGUUGGGCACUCUAGCGAGACCGCCGGUGAUAAACCGGAGGAAGGUGUGGAUGACGUCAAGUCAUCAUGCCCCUUACAUCCUGGGCUACACACGUACUACAAUGCUACGGACAAAGGGCAGCAAACUCGCGAGAGCUAGCAAAUCCCAUAAACCGUGGCUCAGUUCAGAUCGUAGGCUGCAACUCGCCUACGUGAAGGAGGAAUCGCUAGUAAUCGCAGGUCAGCAUACUGCGGUGAAUACGU
rnacentral:rRNA from 1 species